GUGAGGAAUAUUGGUCAAUGGGCGGGAGCCUGAACCAGCCAAGUCGCGUGAAGGAAGACGGUUCUAUGAAUUGUAAACUUCUUUUGUGCAGGAAUAAAGUGGGUUACGUGUAACCUUUUGUAUGUACUGUACGAAUAAGGAUCGGCUAACUCCGUGCCAGCAGCCGCGGUAAUACGGAGGAUCCGAGCGUUAUCCGGAUUUAUUGGGUUUAAAGGGUGCGUAGGUGGAUUGAUAAGUCAGCGGUGAAAGUUUGCAGCUUAACUGUAAAAUUGCCGUUGAAACUGUCGGUCUUGAGUGCAAAUGAGGUAGGCGGAAUGUGUUGUGUAGCGGUGAAAUGCUUAGAUAUAACACAGAACUCCGAUUGCGAAGGCAGCUUACUGGGAUGCAACUGACACUGAUGCACGAAAGCGUGGGUAUCAAACAGGAUUAGAAACCCUAGUAGUCC
rnacentral:rRNA from 1 species